rnacentral:rRNA from 1 species
UACGUAGGGUGCAAGCGUUGUCCGGAAUUAUUGGGCGUAAAGAGCUCGUAGGCGGUCUGUCGCGUCUGCUGUGAAAGUCCAGGGCUCAACCCUGGGAUGCCGGUGGAUACUGUCGAGCUCGAGUCCGGAAGAGGAGUGUGGAAUUCCUGGUGUAGCGGUGAAAUGCGCAGAUAUCAGGAGGAACACCGAUGGCGAAGGCAGGUCACUGGGCCGCAACUGACGCUGAGGAGCGAAAGCAUGGGGAGCGAACAGG